rnacentral:tRNA from 1 species
AGUUGUAUAGCUCAGUGAUAGAGUGCGCGCUUAGCAUGUGUGAGGUCCUGAGUUCAAUCCCCAGUUCCUCCA